GCAUAUCAAUAAGCGGAGGAAAAGAAACCAACAGGGAUUGCCUUAGUAGCGGCGAGUGAAGCGGCAAGAGCUCAAAUUUGAAAUCUGGUACCUUCGGUGCCCGAGUUGUAAUUUGAAGAAAGUAAUCUUGGAGGUGGCCUUUGUCUAUGUUCCUUGGAACAGGACGUCACAGAGGGUGAGAAUCCCGUGCGAUGAGGUGUCCAUUUCCGUGUAAGAUGCUUUCGAAGAGUCGAGUUGUUUGGGAAUGCAGCUCAAAGUGGGUGGUAAAUUCCAUCUAAAGCUAAAUAUUGGCGAGAGACCGAUAGCGAACAAGUACUGUGAAGGAAAGAUGAAAAGAACUUUGAAAAGAGAGUGAAAAAGUACGUGAAAUUGUUGAAAGGGAAGGGUAUUUGAUCAGACUUGGUAUUUAGUUAUCAUUGCUCCUUGUGGGUGGUGCUCUAACUUUUUACUGGGCCAGCAUCAGUUUUGGUGGUAAGAUAAUGACAGUUGAAUGUGGCUCCUCGGAGUGUUAUAGCUUCUGUUGAUGUUGCCUACCGGGACUGAGGUCUGCGGCUUUGCCUAGGAUGCUGGCGUAAUGAUCCAAUACCGCCCGUCUUGAAC
rnacentral:rRNA from 1 species